rnacentral:tRNA from 1 species
GAGGGUAUCGCUCAGUGGUUGAGCCCAUGCCUAGCAUGCACGAGGUCCUGGGUUCCAUCCCCAGUACCUCUG